rnacentral:misc_RNA from 1 species
GAUGAAGAACGUAGCGAAAUGCGAUAAGUAAUGUGAAUUGCAGAAUUCAGUGAAUCAUCGAAUCUUUGAACGCACCUUGCGCCCUUUGGCUAUUCUGAAGGGCAUGCCUGUUUGAGUAUCAUGAACACCUCAACUCUCACGGUUCGCCGUGAUGAGCUUGGACUUUGGGGGUAUUGCCUGCCCACCGCCGGCUCCUCUCAAAUGAAUCAGCUUGCCAGUGUCUGGUGGCAUCACAGGUGUGAUAACUAUCUACGCUUGUGGUUUUCCGCCAGGUAACCUCCAGCGAUGGAGGUUCGCUGGAGCUCACAAAUGUCUCUCCUCAGCGAAGACAGCUCUUGAACGUUUGAUCUCAAAUCAGGUAGGACUACCCGCUGAACUUAAGCAUAUCAAUAAGCGGAGGA